UGGGGAAUAUUGCACAAUGGGGGAAACCCUGAUGCAGCGACGCCGCGUGAGCGAUGAAGGCUUUCGAGUCGUAAAGCUCUGUCCUAUGGGAAGAUAAUGACGGUACCAUAGAAGAAAGCCCCGGCUAAUUACGUGCCAGCAGCCGCGGUAAUACGUAAGGUCCGAGCGUUGUCCGGAAUCAUUGGGCGUAAAGGGUACGUAGGCGGAUAAGCAAGUUAGAAGUGAAAUCCUAUAGCUCAACUAUAGUAAGCUUUUAAAACUGCUCAUCUUGAGGUAUGGAAGGGAAAGUGGAAUUCCUAGUGUAGCGGUGAAAUGCGCAGAUAUUAGGAGGAAUACCGGUGGCGAAGGCGACUUUCUGGCCAUAUACUGACGCUGAGGUACGAAAGCGUGGGUAGCAAACAGG
rnacentral:rRNA from 1 species